CUACGUGCCAGCAGCCGCGGUAAUACGGAAGGUCCAGGCGUUAUCCGGAUUUAUUGGGUUUAAAGGGAGCGUAGGCCGGAGAUUAAGUGUGUUGUGAAAUGUAGACGCUCAACGUCUGACUUGCAGCGCAUACUGGUUUCCUUGAGUACGCACAACGUUGGCGGAAUUCGUCGUGUAGCGGUGAAAUGCUUAGAUAUGACGAAGAACUCCGAUUGCGAAGGCAGCUGACGGGAGCGCAACUGACGCUUAAGCUCGAAGGUGCGGGUAUCGAACAGGAUUAGAUACCCUGGUAGUCCGCACAGUAAACGAUGGAUGCCCGCUGUUGGUACCUGGUAUCAGCGGCUAAGCGAAAGCAUUAAGCAUCCCACCUGGGGAGUACGCCGGCAACGGUGAAACUCAAAGGAAUUGACGGGGGCCCGCACAAGCGGAGGAACAUGUGGUUUAAUUCGAUGAUACGCGAGGAACCUUACCCGGGCUUGAA
rnacentral:rRNA from 1 species